AUUUCAUAUUUUCAGACCAUGUUUUGCCAUGGGUCUCUGAAACUGUGGAAAGUAAAAUCACAAAGAAGAGGCACUGCUUAGUUUGCAAUGAUCAGACAUAGAAAUGAAGGUGUGAAGUCCCACCAUCUUAGAAUACAGAUUAAAAAAGCCCUUACCUGGGAGUUUGGAAAGAAGGCCCCUGCUUCACUAAAGAGCUUGUGCCAGGAUGCAGAAAGAUGGUUUUCACAAAAAUAUGUUUACUGUUCACUUACACACGUAACAAUAUAAACAAAGAAAUCCAUAUGAUUCUAAAAAUAAAGGAUAGUAAGAUUCUGAAUACAGUUGAAGCACUGUUAGCUAUUUGUAAUAAUAAUAAGCUCCCUACUUUUCUCAUAUCUAAAAUGUUUACUGAAAAAAUAAGGGAAAAUAUUGCCAGGAGGAAAAAGGCAGCGUGACUGCCGAAGUCAGUGGGCAGCAGGGCACAAGGAGUCUCAGAGGCAAAAGCUCACUGGCCUGUGCCUUCUUUUUGUUCUGGUUCUUGGCCCCUUUGAUCUGGGAUCUUUGAUAGCAACUACCUGAAGUCAUGGUUUCUUCAGGACUGGUGUUCUCUGCUGUACUUCCCUUGCUUUCUCUCAUCCUGCUAUGUUCUGAAUCUUUGAACCACUGUUUCUCCUAUUCACAUGUUGACAUCCCAACCCACAGGGUGAUGGUAUGAGGAGGGGAGUCCUUUGAGAAGUUAUUAGGUCAGGAGAGUGGAACUCUGAGUAAUGGGAUCAGUGUCCUUAUCAAAGAGGCUCCAGACAGUCCUCAUCGUUCCGCCACUGAGGACACAGUGACAGUCGGCAGUUUGCAGCCCAGAAUGAGGCUCCUGCCUGACCAUGCAGCUCCCUAAUCUUGGCCUUCCAGCCUACAGAACCAUGGGAAAUUCAGCCACUCAGUUUAUAUUUUAGUACAGCAGCCUGAAUGGACUAAGACAUAGCCUACUUUAUUCACAAGGUUGAGCACCAUUUUAGGAAAUACAUUCAAAAUCUGUCAUACUAAUACUAGAGGGCUCAAUGUCAGAGAUGAUGCUUAUUAGAGAAAUCGUGUUUUUCAACUGAAACACACACACACAUACGUGUGUGUGUGUGUGUGUGUGUGUGGUAGUGAAACUGAAACCAAAUCACCAUUAAGACUGAUCAAUUAAAAAAUAUGGUAAAAUGACAGAAUUUUUUUGUUUCCUAUGCUAGAACUUUUCAGGUAAAUUUAUCAAAUACAGUCAACUAGGGAAAAAAUUCACAAUCAAUUUGGUAUGGGACAUUUAGAAAACAAUGAAAAAUCCUCAUGUUUGGUUUUAAUUUAAGGUACCAUAUGCAAAAGCUGUUUUGCAAAUACAUUAUUGAUUUUAAUCUAAGUUAUACCAUAUAGAAUGUGAACAUUUGUGCAAAACAUUAUAAUCUAUAAUUCUGACUUUUAGCUUAGUUGCGUGACUUACUUACAUAAUUCUACAAAAUGAAUCUGGAAGGCUUGAGUUUAUAGGGAAAAAAAUGCCCUAAUUUUAGUGACUCCAGUCUAAAGUUACAGAAAUGUCAAAUUACUUAUUGAAAAGUCUGAAGUGAAGUAAAAGAAAAAUGCCCUGGGAAGUUUCUGUUGUUAGUAUGCUUCCCUCAUCAUACAGAUGUAAAAUCUACCGGAAUUCUAAGACCAGUCAGAGGUUUUCUAUAAUCUCAUUAGAGGGCUCUUACAGGGUUGAGUGAUCUUUUGCUUUGUUUUGUUUGUAAAGAGGUGUAGAAACUGAUUUUGUAUAAAAGUCUGAGAGCUGGUUUAAGAGAUUAAGUGACUCUCCCUGAUGUUCUCACAUCCUCCUAUGUAGAAUGGCCCAAACAGGGACAGUCUCUGCUUUAUUACUGGGUGAAAAGGAGGAGGACUUCCCAGAGUCACACUGGUCCUGACUGCUGGGUAAAGUCAGAGCACAGCUUCAUUUUAUCCACAUUCUCAGAGGUCAGCUAUCAACACAAAUAUACCACUCAGUAAUGUGGAAAACUCUAGAGCAGCAGCUGACAUCAGCAUCAACUACCAUGUUUAAAUAACAACACCAGUGUGCUUUGUGGGUGUGCAUAUGGAGGAAAAAAAGGGUGCGCCUGGGGACUAAAUCUAGUGUGUCAGGAUCCUGCCAAUGGCCAAUUUACAAGAUAAAUACCUCUUCCUACCAUCUUUUCUGCAUCUACUAAGUGCAUCUUCAUCUCCGUUUGUAGCUCACCCCUCAAUUAAACUCCUACCUCCCCAUUUAAAGUUAUACCCUUUGAGCAUCUCUCUAUCCUACAGCAAAUGUCUGAAAAAAAACUACCUACAAGAAAUGACGAUGGGAUGGCAAUUUUCUCCAUUACCUAGUUUUUCCAACCUGUUACAAAAUACAGCUAAUAAAGCUGAAAGUGAACAUCAUUCCUUGUAGAUGUUAGAGACGUGUGGUCACCCUAUACCAAAUUCAAGGGAUGAGUUUUGACAAUGCUACAAAUGCUCUUCAGUAAAUCACUUGAAAAACGGCACUUCUUAAAGGUCCAUAUUUCAUUAUCUUGGCAAAACUUUGUUUCAAGGUCAUUUCCAACUGCUCUUCUUGGGCAGAGCAGUGUGCGUGGAACAGCACCAGCAUGGCACCAGGUCAAUCUUUUAGUCAUCGCAGGAGCGAGCUUUCUGUAGAGAGGCAGCUUGCUUCAAAGUCAGAUGGGCUUUUGAAAAGCAUGCCAAAAAAAAGUUUCAGAUUUGAAAUGUUAUAGGAAAGAAGGUCAUCACAUUUUUUAAUUGCCUGCUAUCCUUGCAGAAGGUUGCUUUUCAUAUUUUUAGGCAAAUAUUACAGAUCUACCCAGUGUGAAAAACAGUUUAAAAAUGUGGUGAGUGAGUUUGGGCAUAUGUCUUCAAUUGAACAUAGUGCCGAGUGCCAAACGUCAACCAAGCUGAUCGCACUGUAGGUCUGUGUGAAAGCCUAACGUGGUGGAAUCUAGUUGCUAUAGCUGCAAAUCAAACAAAUAAAUGAGACACCCUGGAAUGCAGCAAAAUAUCUGUGGUCUGAUUAGUUCACAUUUGCCAUAUGUGUGAAGAUUAGCAGUUGAAUUCUGAGUUUAAACAAAGGUCUUUCCAAUAGGUGCAACUGAUGGGAAAUGCUUAAAAAUACAUAAGGGAGAUGUGAGUUCCUUGUCCAAAGGGGAAAGCUGUACACCCUGGAUGUAGCCCUGCUUGCUCUGCUGGCCUCUGUGCACAGCGAACAUCACAUUGCGAUGUGGCCCUGAUCCUCUCACCUUCCGUUUCUGGGAGAUCCCGAGAGUCUGGUCCUUCUGGCUUACUUCCCUCAACCAUAUCCUCAAAUUCAGAAAUGCACAGUGAAGCAUGAAGCCC